rnacentral:rRNA from 1 species
CCUACGGGAGGCAGCAGUGGGGGAUAUUGCACAAUGGGGGAAACCCUGAUGCAGCGACGCCGCGUGUGGGAAGACGGUCCUCUGGAUUGUAAACCACUGUCCCCAGGGACGAAGAUGACGGUACCUGGGGAGGAAGCUCCGGCUAACUACGUGCCAGCAGCCGCGGUAAUACGUAGGGAGCAAGCGUUGUCCGGAAUUACUGGGUGUAAAGGGAGCGUAGGCGGGAUGGCAAGUUGGGUGUUAAAUCUACCGGCUCAACUGGUAGUCGCACUCAAAACUGGUAUUCUUGAGUGAAGUAGAGGCAGGCGGAAUGCCUAGUGUAGCGGUGAAAUGCGUAGAUAUUAGGAGGAACACCAGUGGCGAAGGCGGCCUGCUGGGCUUUUACUGACGCUGAGGCUCGAAAGUGUGGGGAGCGAACAGGAUUAGAUACCCCUGUAGUC